CCUGAUGUGGAGGCCACAGCCCCUGGCCUGGCGGUAGCAAGCGUUUGCAUGACCAGCACAACCCUCUCUCUACGCACAUUCUGUCCAGCGGCUGGGAGUCACCGCAGAUGAAGACUACAGGCUCGACACAGAAGGUAGCCGGCAAUUCCAACGCUCACUGCUGAAUUGGGUCUCCUUACUCCGUGCCAGCCCAGCAACUCCAGGCACAGAGCCCACGGGCAGCAAAGGGCCUACGGACGUCCCCCCAGGAACAGCCACGCAGCAGGGGCGGGGGGGGGGGGCACUUCUUCUGCAGUCUUUUCAGAAACAGAGGAACCUGCCAGUGACAUCAAGAAAAAAACUGAUAUUCUGUAAAGGCUGUGGGAGACACCCCUAUCAUGAAAACGAAGAUGUGGGCUCUGGAGUGAACCCAAAGACUCACUGCCUUCAUCAAAAAGUUCCUUAAACUUGUGGCUUCAGAACA